GAUGAACGCUGGCGGCGUGCCUAAUACAUGCAAGUCGAGCGAAUGGAUUAAGAGCUUGCUCUUAUGAAGUUAGCGGCGGACGGGUGAGUAACACGUGGGUAACCUGCCCAUAAGACUGGGAUAACUCCGGGAAACCCGGGCUAAUACCGGAUAACAUUUUGAACCGCAUGGUUCGAAAUUGAAAGGCGGCUUCGGCUGUCACUUAUGGAUGGACCCGCGUCGCAUUAGCUAGUUGGUGAGGUAACGGCUAACCAAGGCAACGAUGCGUAGCCGGCUCGAGCGGUGGAUCGGCCACACUGGGAGUUCGACACGGCCGAGACACGUACGGGAGGCAGCAGUAGGGAAUCUUCCGCAAUGGACGAAAGUCUGACGGAGCAACGCCGCGUGAGUGAUGAAGGCUUUCGGGUCGUAAAACUCUGUUGUUAGGGAAGCACAAGUGCUAGUUGAAUAAGCUGGCACCUUGACGGUACCUAACCAGAAAGCCACGGCUAACUACGUGCCAGCCGCCGCCGUAA
rnacentral:rRNA from 1 species